rnacentral:misc_RNA from 1 species
GCGUCCAUGGGAGGGGAUUGUCGGGAUCUGCUGAGAAGCAGCAGAAGAGAAGCACACAAUUGUGCCAAGAAAGAAGAAGGCAAUGAGAAGAGAGAAAUGAGGAUAGAAGUGGGUCUUCUUCCUCAUCUCACAUGAGACGUCCGCUCUAGCAAAUGCCACUCUCUGUUUAUUUAUCUUGGCUGUUCUGUAUGUACCUCAACCAAGAAAAUGGGUUUUGCAAGAAAUGCUCUGAAACUCAAAAUGGGUGUUGGCCUGAGAUCUGAGAGAGAAAGAAAUAGAGAGACAGAUUUUGUUUUGGGGUUUGAGGAGAGAGAGGGGGAGAAUGGGGGAG